GAACUGAAGAGUUUGAUCAUGGCUCAGAUUGAACGCUGGCGGCAGGCCUAACACAUGCAAGUCGAGCGGUAGAGAGAAGCUUGCUUCUCUUGAGAGCGGCGGACGGGUGAGUAAUACCUAGGAAUCUGCCUGAUAGUGGGGGAUAACGUUCGGAAACGGACGCUAAUACCGCAUACGUCCUACGGGAGAAAGCAGGGGACCUUCGGGCCUUGCGCUAUCAGAUGAGCCUAGGUCGGAUUAGCUAGUUGGUGAGGUAAUGGCUCACCAAGGCUACGAUCCGUAACUGGUCUGAGAGGAUGAUCAGUCACACUGGAACUGAGACACGGUCCAGACUCCUACGGGAGGCAGCAGUGGGGAAUAUUGGACAAUGGGCGAAAGCCUGAUCCAGCCAUGCCGCGUGUGUGAAGAAGGUCUUCGGAUUGUAAAGCACUUUAAGUUGGGAGGAAGGGCAGUAAAUUAAUACUUUGCUG
rnacentral:rRNA from 1 species